CCUACGGGGUGCAGCAGUGGGGAAUAUUGGACAAUGGGCGGAAGCCUGAUCCAGCCAUGCCGCGUGUGUGAAGAAGGCCUUCGGGUUGUAAAGCACUUUCAGUGGGGAAGAAAGCCUUGGGGCUAAUACCCUCGAGGAAGGACAUCACCCACAGAAGAAGCACCGGCUAACUCCGUGCCAGCAGCCGCGGUAAUACGGAGGGUGCGAGCGUUAAUCGGAAUUACUGGGCGUAAAGCGCGCGUAGGCGGUCUGAUAAGCCGGUUGUGAAAGCCCCGGGCUCAACCUGGGAACGGCAUCCGGAACUGUCAGGCUAGAGUGCAGGAGAGGAAGGUAGAAUUCCCGGUGUAGCGGUGAAAUGCGUAGAGAUCGGGAGGAAUACCAGUGGCGAAGGCGGCCUUCUGGACUGACACUGACGCUGAGGUGCGAAAGCGUGGGUAGCAAACAGGAUUAGAUACCCCAGUAGUC
rnacentral:rRNA from 1 species